AUGGAGUACCAACAAGAAUGUGUUUUCCCCCAAGCAAAAGCUUGGAAACUACAAAAAAAGGGAAACAUGUUAACUCUAGUGCUGGAGCAUCAAAAAGCAAAAGCUUGGAGAAUACAAACAAAAAGGGAAAAGGGGGGAAAUCUGAAUCGGUCAAUCCAAGAGUGCAUAUCAAGAACCGGCUCAAAACAGCCGGAGCCAAUUUCCAUCGAGUUUCCUAUGCCUGGCGAUGAAACAAAUGUUCCUGUGAAGGUUAGGGGCAAGAGUAAGGAGUGCACUCAAAAGAUUCCUAUGGUGCCACAAGACAGCCCAGCAAUGUGCACAAGAAGCAAAAAAAUUAACUCUGCACGCCCUUCAAUGAGCACAAGAAGCAAAAGGCGGCUUAGUUUGUGA
rnacentral:rRNA from 1 species